rnacentral:rRNA from 1 species
UACGUAGGGUGCAAGCGUUGUCCGGAAUUAUUGGGCGUAAAGAGCUCGUAGGCGGUCUGUCGCGUCGGAUGUGAAAAUCCAGGGCUCAACCCUGGACCUGCAUUCGAUACGGGCAGACUAGAGUUCGGUAGGGGAGACUGGAAUUCCUGGUGUAGCGGUGAAAUGCGCAGAUAUCAGGAGGAACACCAAUAGCGAAGGCAGCUCGCUGGGACGGUACUGACGCUAAGGCGCGAAAGCGUGGGGAGCGAACAGG